rnacentral:rRNA from 1 species
CCUACGGGAGGCUGCAGUGGGGAAUCUUCCGCAAUGGGCGAAAGCCUGAAGGAGCAACGCAGCGUGAUCGAAUGAAGGCCUUCGGGUUGUAAAGAUCUGUUGACAGGGACGAAUAAGCAAUGCGAAUAGUUUUGUGUAUGAAGGUACCUGUUUAGAAAGCUCCGGCUAACUACGUGCAAGCAGCCGAGGUAAUACGGAGGGAGCAAGCGUUGUCCGGAAUUACUGGGCGUAAAGGGAGCGUAGGUGGGUUCUUAAGUCAGGUGUGAAAACUCCGGGCUCAACCUUGAGAUUGCACUUGAUACUGGGUGUCUUGAGUGCAGGAGAGGAAGGUGGAAU